UACGUAGGCGGCAAGCGUUGUCCGGAAUUAUUGGGCGUAAAGCGCGCGCAGGUGGUCCUUUAAGUCUGAUGUGAAAGCCCACGGCUCAACCGUGGAGGGUCAUUGGAAACUGGGGGACUUGAGUACAGAAGAGGAAAGUGGAAUUCCACGUGUAGCGGUGAAAUGCGUAGAGAUGUGGAGGAACACCAGUGGCGAAGGCGACUUUCUGGUCUGUAACUGACACUGAGGAGCGAAAGCGUGGGGAGCGAACAGG
rnacentral:rRNA from 1 species